AGUGGGGAAUAUUGCACAAUGGGCGCAAGCCUGAUGCAGCCAUGCCGCGUGUGUGAAGAAGGCCUUCGGGUUGUAAAGCACUUUCAGCGGGGAGGAAGUGUCACUAGUUAAUACCUAGUGGCAUUGACGUUACUCGCAGAAGAAGCACCGGCUAACUCCGUGCCAGCAGCCGCGGUAAUACGGAGGGUGCAAGCGUUAAUCGGAAUUACUGGGCGUAAAGCGCACGCAGGCGGUUUGUUAAGUCAGAUGUGAAAUCCCCGAGCUCAACUUGGGAACUGCAUUUGAAACUGGCAAGCUAGAGUCUUGUAGAGGGGGGUAGAAUUCCAGGUGUAGCGGUGAAAUGCGUAGAGAUCUGGAGGAAUACCGGUGGCGAAGGCGGCCCCCUGGACAAAGACUGACGCUCAGGUGCGAAAGCGUGGGGAGCAAA
rnacentral:rRNA from 1 species